AUCAUAACAACAACAUUUUAAGUUUCAAUUUCCUUAAUUUGUAUAAAACUUUAUUUGAAUUAGAGUAUACAGCUGCCUCCAGUGCCAAGAUAUUGACGUGGUAAACUAUAAUUGAUGUCAAAAAGUUCUUAAGUGACAGAAAAGUUGGCACAGAUUGGUAACAAUGAGCUACAUGGUAAUGGGGAUUUAACCUCGGGAAAUCUAUAUAAACUGAGCUUGAAAUAUCCAUUAGAAAAAUGUAUUGUCAAUUAAGAGAUACAGAAUUGACAUGAAAACAACUGGAUGUCUGUGUAUUAAGAGAGAUAUGGUCAAGUUGAUUUCUUUUAUUUUUUAUUUUUUUAAUUCAAGACAUGGAACUGAGAAUGAACAUUGAUGACACAAAUAUGUUAAUAGAAACCUGUGAACUUAUCCUUAUUUUACACAAUCUACAUCUUGUUUAACAAGAAUUCAAUCAAAGUUAGCAACAGACAAGCUUGAUGGUUGAUAAAGAUCAUUAGGAUAUAGUGCAAAAAUGUAGCAUGAUAAGUACAUGAACACGUUUUCAAAUCUGAAAUCAGUUGAUGCCAUCUUUGUGGCACCAACAGAGAAAUUGUUAAGAUUGACUUGAAUUGUAAUGGUUUGUUCAACAAAAAAAUUCUUCAUGAAG